UGUUUCUCGUUUUUGGAUUGGUAUAGGUGAGGAUUCAAUUGGGUCAGGGAUCAGCAGGCUCGGUAGCGAGGAACAUGCUUAAGGAGGAGGGCUUUGGUGCCUUUUACAAGCAUGGUCUAUAUGUACUACUGUUGGAGAUAUGGCUCACAAACCUGCAUACUUUGUGCCUGAUUCAAUGUCAGUCUGGAAUCUUCUUAGAGAGUUCCAAAUCAGGAAAGUUCACAUGGCUGUUGUCCUUAAUGAAUAUGGUGGAACUGAGGGAGUGUUUGAUGUGGAUGCAAACAC